rnacentral:rRNA from 1 species
AAGGAUCAUUMCAGUGUUCCCUGCCCUUCGGGGUAGGAUCGCCACCCUUGAUUAUUUAUGAGUGUUGCUUUGGCGGGCCUCGUGGCCUAGUCGCGCCCCGGCUUCGGCGGGGGAGCGCCCGCCAGAGGAUUCUAUAAACCUGAUUAUUAGUGUCGUCUGAGUACUAUAUAAUAGUUAAAACUUUCAACAACGGAUCUCUUGGUUCUGGCAUCGAUGAAGAACGCAGCGAAAUGCGAUAAGUAAUGUGAAUUGCAGAAUUCAGUGAAUCAUCGAAUCUUUGAACGCACAUUGCGCCCCGUGGUAUUCCGCGGGGCAUGCCUGUUCGAGCGUCAUUAUAACCAAUCCAGCUCGCUGGGUCUUGGGUACCGCCGCCUGGCGGGCCUUAAAAUCAGUGGCGGUACGGCCGGGCUCUGAGCGUAGUAAAUCUUUCUCGCUACAGGGUCCCGGGCGGCACUGGCCAGCAACCCCCCAUCUUUUAUAGGUUGACCUCGGAUCAGGGAGGGAUACCCGCUGAACUUAA